AGACCCUACUUACAAAAUUAGGCUGUAAGUCGCCACCGAUUAAAUAAUUAUGGAAUUCUGACUUCAUGCAAAAUGCUCACCGGCUAGAUGCUUUUUGCCAUGCCUCGGUGGUGAGAACUAGAAAAAACAGUCUUCAUCAGCCCUACACGUAGAUUAAAUCUAACUUCGAGCAUGAAAACACAAGCAUGACAUAUCAUUCUUUGGG
rnacentral:misc_RNA from 1 species